rnacentral:rRNA from 1 species
AGAACGAACGCUGGCGGCAGGCUUAACACAUGCAAGUCGAGCGCCCCGCAAGGGGAGCGGCAGACGGGUGAGUAACGCGUGGGAACAUACCCUCCGGUUCGGAAUAGCUCAGGGAAACUUGGAUUAAUACCGGAUACGGCCUAGCGGCGAAAGAUUCAUCGCCGGAGGAUUGGCCCGCGUUCGAUUAGCUAGUUGGUGAGGUAACGGCUCACCAAGGCGACGAUCGAUAGCUGGUCUGAGAGGAUGAUCAGCCACAUUGGGACUGAGACACGGCCCAAACUCCUACGGGAGGCAGCAGUGGGGAAUAUUGGACAAUGGGCGCAAGCCUGAUCCAGCCAUGCCGCGUGAGUGAUGACGGCCUUAGGGUUGUAAAGCUCUUUCGCUAGGGACGAUAAUGACGGUACCUAGACAAGAAGCCCCGGCUAACUUCGUGCCAGCAGCCGC